AUGGAGGGCUGUCAUGUUUAGAUUAUUGUUGAUAAACUGUUUUGAGAUUUUGAAAUAUACAAAGCUGCCAGCUUGGAAAGUAAUAGUCAUUGCUAUGGACAUGAUUGGCUUUGGGGGCAUCAAGCCCUCCCAGUUUGCUGUGUCUACCCAGAACAUUCUGCUCCGAGUCCUGCUGCAGAGCCCAGGAAAUGCUGACAGCACCUGUCAAUUUUGGCCUCACCCUAUGAGCUCAUUUAAAAUCACCCAGGAUGCUCAUUGUUUGGAUGGGUCAAAUCUUCAAAAUAAAAUGGAAAAAGAAGCCUCUUGCUUAAGAUAAAAGAUACUGAGGAAAACAUUUCACAUAACCAAAGCAUUAGAAUGUUAAGUCAGUUCAUAUUAGACCUUUCUACUGUUUCUUCAUUGUUUGUUUCUGUUUUUUCCCAGUAAUAAAUUAGAGUUCUUUUUCCUGUGUGGAGCCUGGUUAUGAAACCUUGCAUAAGACUCUUCAUGUCUCUGGGCCUUGGCUUUCUUAUCUGUGAAAUGAAGAUGGAGGUCCCUUCCUGCUUUUCUGUGGUUCUGUGUGUACACAUCCCUAAAGCUUUUAGAAUACAAAUAUCCGCUGUUUUGAAAAAACAUUAGGAGUCAUUUGAGCUUCCCACAGCUGGAGAAUCAUCCACGUACGAUGUGAUUCUUUUAAACAAGCUCUCUGAGUAUUGAUUUUUUCCUUUCCCCAAGAGCUCUGUAAAUAUAGUGUUUUCUUGCCAGAGACAUCAGGGCCUCAGAACUACUGACCUCCUUCUAUGAAGAUAGUAUAUGGUUUGUGUUUGGCUUAGGAUCUCUUUAACAGACCAUCUAGCUCCAUUGUGAGAGGCUGACUCAGCAGAGCCCUCCAGACCGUCCAGCUCCACUGUGAGAGGCUGACUCAGCAGAACCCUCCAGACCAUUCCCACUCUUCGGGAUUAGAGUGCCCUUCCCUGGCAACCCCGGGGCAGGCUGGGAGCUGGUGCUGCACCCAUCUCCUGCAUGCACCCUUGGGGGAUGGCACACUGCAGCAUUGCCUCCUUCUGUUCCCAGGACUCAGUGUUGCCAAGUGCCACGUAGUCCAAGAAUCCCGCCAGUUUGCUGUAGGUGUCUUCCAGAGCCUGUCGUUAGGGCUCAGGUUGAAGCAGGUCUGUCACUUGUUCACAGCCUGUUCAGGGACCACCUCGGUGCUCUCAGCAAUGUUCUCUCCCCUGCGCCUGGCUCCUGGCCUGUUCCCCACGUCUCCGUCUUACCCUCUGGUCCACCCUAGUGUUUGCCAGAGAUUCUCUUUCCCUUCCCCUCAUUGAAAUCCUGACAUAAUCCCAAAGGUUUUAGGAGUGUAAGAUUCUACACGCAUACCUCUUCAAGUGUUUUAUUAUGCAAAUUUUUGAAUAUAUUCAAAAGUAGAGGAAACAGUGUGGUCAGCCUCUAUGUACCUGUCAGUCAGCUUCACGAUCUUAUUUCAUCUGCACCUCUUCCCAGUAACUUCAUAUUAUUUUGAAGCAACAUCCCCACGUGUCAUAUCAUUUCUAGUUUUCUGUGUUAAAGAAUCCCAAACUCCUCCCAGUUGACUGGAGAGAAAGGUGUCUGUGAAUUCCCCUCCAGGUUUCAUGUCACUUAGUCCAGCCACCUCUCUCAUCUCCCAGGCUGCCGGUCAGCUUGGGAGUCGGCGUCCCUCCCUGUUCUGCUGCAGUCCCCUGCUGUGGGGCACUCGGCAGGAGAACAGGAUCCUUUACGGGUGGGUAGCUGAGCUGAGAAGGGAAGGCUGUUUCAGGCAGGUUGGGGACAAGGCAGGAAAAGGAAAGGGCCUGGGUCACACCUCACUGUCGGGUCCGCUGGGCACAUUUGUAUUUGUCCUGAGUAUCAGUCCCUACAGAACGAAUAAGAAACUCCCCAGGACAAAAGGGCCUGAUUCCUGGGAUACCAAAGCUGUGACCUGAUUUCCACUCCAGCCCCUCCCUUCCGCAGUAACAGGCGACAUCAUUCUCCUGCGAGGGAUUCAACGCCUCAUCCUUUCUCCCUUUCAGAUGCAGUGGCAGAACGUGGAGCACGUUGGUGACCAGAGCCCCUACGUCACCUCUGUCAUUCUGCACAUCAAGCAGAACGUCCCCAUCAUCCGUGACAACCUGGCUUCCACACGCAAGUACUUCACUCAGUUCUGCGUUAAAUUUGCAAAGUAAGUCCUGGGGCGUGCUCAUCUCUGGGUUCUUGUUCUUUUUAAUAGACUUUAUGUUUUAGAACAGUUUCAGGUUCACAGCCAAAUUGAGCAGCAAGCACAGAGAUUUCCCGUGUACCUGACCCCCCCAACAUGCACAGUCUUCCCAUUACCGACACCGCCCCACACACAAAGUGGCACAUUCGUUACAGUGGAUGAACCUGCAUCAACACGUCAUUAUCACCCGGACUCUGACGUCGCGCUGGACAUUCCCUUGGUUUGGACAAAUGUACAGUGACGUGUGGCCGCCAUUUCAGUGUCAUACUCAACUGGGUUGUUUUUAAAACCAUACUUCCCACCAGCAUCCUCACAAUUUGAGUGUCCCCACCAUCCAGCUGCGGUUCGUUCUGGUGCCUGCAGUACUGAUUUUAAUUUGUACGCAAAAGAAGCAUAGUCAUAAAACUAAAUCUGCUACUUAAAGUCAUAGGCAACAGUAACAGCAGUACAAUUGCCAGCCACGUCAAGGCAAACAAAAAUGAAUGGGGCCUACUGUUGUUUUGAACUGUGCAGGCAUAAGCUCUCCUUGCCCAGGAUUGGAUAAUUAAAAUUCUUUUUCAGGGAUUUC
rnacentral:sRNA from 1 species